GGCUCGUUGGUCUAGGGGUAUGAUUCCUGCUGAGGGUGCAGGAGGUCCCGGGUUCAAAUCCCGGACGAGCCC
rnacentral:tRNA from 1 species